AUGCACGCUGGCGGCGUGCCUAAUCCAUGCAAGUCGAGCGAACGGACGAGAAGCUUGCUUUUCUGAUGUUAGCGGCGGACGGGUGAGUAACACGUGGAUAACCUACCUAUAAGACUGGGAUAACUUCGGGAAACCGGAGCUAAUACCGGAUAAUAUUUUGAACCGCAUGGUUCAAAAGUGAAAGACGGUCUUGCUGUCACUUAUAGAUGGAUCCGCGCUGCAUUAGCUAGUUGGUAAGGUAACGGCUUACCAAGGCAACGAUGCAUAGCCGACCUGAGAGGGUGAUCGGCCACACUGGAACUGAGACACGGUCCAGACUCCUACGGGAGGCAGCAGUAGGGAAUCUUCCGCAAUGGGCGAAAGCCUGACGGAGCAACGCCGCGUGAGUGAUGAAGGUCUUCGGAUCGUAAAACUCUGUUAUUAGGGAAGAACAUAUGUGUAAGUAACUGUGCACAUCUUGACGGUACCUAAUCAGAAAGCCACGGCUAACUACGU
rnacentral:rRNA from 1 species